rnacentral:rRNA from 1 species
CCUACGGGUGGCAGCAGUGAGGAAUAUUAGUCAAUGGACGAGAGUCUGAACCAGCCAAGUAGCGUGAAGGAUGACGGCCCUAUGGGUUGUAAACUUCUUUUAUAUGGGAAUAAAAUGUUCCACGUGUGGGAUUUUGUAUGUACCAUAUGAAUAAGGAUCGGCUAACUCCGUGCCAGCAGCCGCGGUAAUACGGAGGAUCCGAGCGUUAUCCGGAUUUAUUGGGUUUAAAGGGAGCGUAGGUGGAUUGUUAAGUCAGUUGUGAAAGUUUGCGGCUCAACCGUAAAAUUGCAGUUGAAACUGGCAGUCUUGAGUACAGUAGAGGUGGGCGGAAUUCGUGGUGUAGCGGUGAAAUGCUUAGAUAUCACGAAGAACUCCGAUUGCGAAGGCAGUUCACUGGACUGCAACUGACACUGAGGCUCGAAAGUGUGGGUAUCAAACAGGAUUAGAUACCCCUGUAGUC